GUGAUGAGACAGAGCCUUUCACCCCCACAUUUCUCCCAUGAACCUCAGAAUUAGCCCAACUGGGAUGUCUCUGCCCUUUCCCAGCCCUAUGUCCAUUGGACAGAACAGCCCCGGGCUGUUGCUGUGCGGUGUUGGCAGGAGAUCAUCAGGGUCCUGGCAGCUGGCGGGGUCAGAGCCCAGCAUAGCGCUGCUCGGGGCUGAUGCCAUCUCUGCUCGGAUCAUCCGCAGCACUGUGAUUGCUGCACAGGGACCAACUCCGGAUAUUAAAGCUCCUCAGAGAGCCACAUCCCAACCCAGCACCGCUCAACAUCCCCAAAAUUACCCCAGGGACAAAUUGGCCCACCAGACCUACAGCGCUGACAGCAACAGCUCAGAAACAGCGUGAAAUCUAAAUUAAGUUGAGAGUCUCUUUUCUAAACAAAUUCCUUCUUGAAGAACCAAACCCAGACUUCAUUAUAACAACUCAAUUAUACACGAGGCUGAGCUCCAGUGCGCUCACAGAGACAAGAAGUUUGCCGUGAGUGUUUCACGCUUCGCUCAAAUUAUGACUUCCUUCAAUGCAAAUGGGAGGUUCGGCGAGCAAUGCACAUUUCCCCAAUGCUGCUCAGAAAACAAAUUACAUCGAUGUCUAUUAGGAAGCAGAAGCAGGGCUUCUGUAGGAACAGUGGUUUCUCCAGGGUGAAUUUCUGUGAGGUCUCUCCAGGGUUGCGUUGUGGGGUGAGAAAGCAAAGAGUGACCCCAAAGAGCCUCCAGGACAGCAGAGCCAUCCCUGCUGCUCUGCACAGAACUCAGCCCACUGCACCGUGGGUUUGAUGGAUGCUAUUGAAGCACCAGCAGCAGGAGCAGAUCUCAGCACAUGGGCAGUUCUUGGGGGGCUGACCCCCUCUGGGGGGGACCAGGGGGCAAAGCCCUCUCCUGUGGCCCCAUCUCUCUCCCAAUCAAUAAACAAUGAGCAAAUAUGCAGCAUGAGAGCAGUAAAUAAACUUCUGUAGCCCCCCGGUGUCCCUCUGCCAAAUAAACUCAGUAGGGAUACAUUUUUUCUUGAGCCAUCUUUCACACCAAAUAAAGUCUUGAGGAAUAAAGUGACACUUCUGGCAGGUGCUGAAGCCGUGCUCACAGAGGCACUCAGUGUGUCCUUCUCCUGUCGCUCAUCGUCCCCAAAGCUGCAGAACACCCAUUUGCAAGGACAGACCCCACAUCAACACUGGUGAGAGGCAGAAGCUCAGAGCAGCAUCAUAGUCUCAGCCUUUGCUCUGAAUACAGUGCACAGCAGCUUAGGAAACACAAAUGUGUGACUUCCAUCCCUGCUUGGAGGCACUGGGGAACGCUGCUGCUCACCCUCCUGAGUUCCCACCCAACGUUAUCUCGCUUUCUAUCACAGCAGCAGCUUCCAAUGGGCUCAGAGUGAGGUCGUGAGAUUUUGUGUUCUUCAUACAAUUCCAUCAAACUGCCUCAGGAAGAAGAAAAUAAACCCUGCAAUAAGUCUUCCUGCUGAUUAUUUGCUGGGAUGGAUGGAUGGAUGGAUGGAUGGAUGGAUGGAUGGAUGGAUGGAUGGAUGGAUGGAUGGAUAAAAAAAUAAAAGAAGAAGAAUUUACAGCACCUGAAGACAUCCAUGAUUGCCCCAACCCAGGUGGAACACCUUGGCCUUGCAGAACCUCAUUUGGCUCUUUUGGGCCCACUUCUCAAACCUGUCCAGGUCCCUCUGGAUGGCGUCCCUUCUUUCUGUUGUAUCAACUGCACCCCUCAGCUUGAUGUCAUCAGUAAAGUUGCUGUGGGUGGACUUGGUUCCACUGUCUAUGUCACUGCAGAGCACGAGUCCCAGGAUAGACCUCUGGGGGACACCACUCCUCACCAACCUCCACCCACACAUAGAGCCAUUGAUAACGACUCUGAUUAUGACCACCCAACCAAGUCCUCCUCCAACCAACAGUCCAGCC
ensembl:lncRNA